ensembl:snRNA U6 U6 spliceosomal RNA
GUGCUUGCUUUGGCAGCACAUAUACUAAAAUUAGAAUGAUUCAGAGAAGAUUAGCAUGGCGCCUGCUCAAGGCUGACACGCAAAUUCGUGAAAUGUGCCACAUUUUU